UGAUAGCAACGAAGCGAGAGGUUGCUGCCAAUGGUUGGCAGGUUUUUCCGUGGAGCGAAUGUCAAGUUAGGAAACUGGCGACAA
rfam:Lachnospiraceae bacterium 3-1 genomic scaffold acPFp-supercont1.1, whole genome shotgun sequence.